UGAACAUGGAGGUAAUGUGCUGACUUUGGU
rnacentral:piRNA from 1 species